UACGGAGGGUGCGAGCGUUGUCCGGAAUCACUGGGCGUAAAGGGUGCGUAGGUGGCAGGGUAAGUUUGAUGUGAAAUCUCCGAGCUUAACUCGGAAACUGCAUUGAAUACUAUCCUGCUCGAGGGUUGGAAGGGGGACUGGAAUUCUCGGUGUAGCAGUGAAAUGCGUAGAUAUCGAGAGGAACACCAGUGGCGAAGGCGAGUCCCUGGACAACACCUGACACUGAGGCACGAAAGCUAGGGGAGCAAACAGG
rnacentral:rRNA from 1 species